CCUAGUCUGACUCCAGUAACUAUGGACAAAGCUGUCACGAGUGGAAAAGACACAGAGGUUACUGAACCUGAGGUGGAAAUAUGUGAUAUUAGUGAGGCAGUGAAUGUUACGAAUUACCUUUCAGACAAACUCUCCAUUACCGCAGAACUGAAAGAUCUUACUAAAAAUAUGCAAAAUAAAGGAGAGGAAUCUGUACCUCCAUCUCAAUUAUACACUUCCAGUGGAAGCAGAGAACAGUCAUGGUGUGAAGAUCCCUGUGGCACCAUACAUGAAUCUGGGCCUACAGUUCAAGUGAAUCUCAAACGAAUGUACCACAGUGAUGCAGAAAGUGAUUCUGAUGAAGUGGAAAUGAAGAAGGAAGAAGAGAGAAAAACAAAGCUUCUCCCUAGAAAAUUAUUUAAAGCAGAUGAUGAUACUGUGUAUAAAGGUUAGCUGGAGCUAUAGUCAUACAAUAAGUGUAAACCAGAAAACUGCUUAAAGUAUUAACCAUGAACAAUAACAUUACAAUUCUAAUUAAAACCCUUAGGAUAGGGUGACCAGAUGUCCCAAUUUUAUACGGACAGUCCUGAUAUUUGAGGCUUUUUCUUAAAUAAGUGCCUAUUACCUCCCCGCCCCCCAGUCCUGAUUUUUCACACUUGCUAUCUGGUCACCCUACUUUAGGACAUCUUAAUAAGCUCCAUUUUUAUUGCAGACAUUUAAGAAAAGAGCAUUACCGGCUCUUCUCUGAGACAUUGAUACAGAAUGCUGUGGAAAAUUUUCUUUCCUUAACUAAUAACAUAAAUGUUCAAGAAACACAGCAGUCAACUUCUUAUCAUUCAGAUGAAUAAACAAACAGAAGUUUGAUCA
rnacentral:lncRNA from 1 species